rnacentral:rRNA from 1 species
AUUGAACGCUGGCGGCAGGCCUAACACAUGCAAGUCGAACGGUAGCACAGAGAGCUUGCUCUCGGGUGACGAGUGGCGGACGGGUGAGUAAUGUCUGGGAAACUGCCCGAUGGAGGGGGAUAACUUCUGGAAACGGUAGCUAAUACCGCAUAACGUCGCAAGACCAAAGUGGGGGACCUUCGGGCCUCACACCAUCGGAUGUGCCCAGAUGGGAUUAGCUAGUAGGUGGGGUAAUGGCUCACCUAGGCGACGAUCCCUAGCUGGUCUGAGAGGAUGACCAGCCACACUGGAACUGAGACACGGUCCAGACUCCUACGGGAGGCAGCAGUGGGGAAUAUUGCACAAUGGGCGCAAGCCUGAUGCAGCCAUGCCGCGUGUAUGAAGAAGGCCUUCGGGUUGUAAAGUACUUUCAGCGGGGGGGAAGGCGGUGGAGUUAAUAACUUCACCGAUUGACGUUACCCGCAGAAGAAGCACCGGCUAACUCCGUGCCAGCCGCCGCAGUAA